GAGGUUUAGCUCAGUUGGGAGAGCAUCUGCCUUACAAGCAGGGGGUCAGGGGUUCAAGUCCCUUAACCUCC
rnacentral:tRNA from 1 species